rnacentral:tRNA from 1 species
ACCUGGUUGGCUCAGUCAGUAGAGCAUGAGACCCUUGAUCCUAGGGUUGUGAGUUCCAGUCCCACAAUAGGUG